GGAGAGAUGUGAGAGCGGUUUAAUCAGCACGCUUGGAAAGUGUGUGUACUGUCAAAAGUACCGAGGGUUCGAAUCCCUCUCUCUCCGCCA
rnacentral:tRNA from 1 species